GAUGAACGCUGGCGGCGUGCUUAACACAUGCAAGUCGAACGGUGAAGGCGGAGCUUGCUCUGCUGGAUCAGUGGCGAACGGGUGAGUAACACGUGAGCAAUCUGCCCCAGACUCUGGGAUAAGCGCUGGAAACGGCGUCUAAUACUGGAUACGAGCUGCGAAGGCAUCUUCAGCAGCUGGAAAGAAUUUCGGUCAGGGAUGAGCUCGCGGCCUAUCAGCUUGUUGGUGAGGUAAUGGCUCACCAAGGCGUCGACGGGUAGCCGGCCUGAGAGGGUGACCGGCCACACUGGGACUGAGACACGGCCCAGACUCCUACGGGAGGCAGCAGUGGGGAAUAUUGCACAAUGGGCGAAAGCCUGAUGCAGCAACGCCGCGUGAGGGACGACGGCCUUCGGGUUGUAAACCUCUUUUAGCAGGGAAGAAGCGAAAGUGACGGUACCUGCAGAAAAAGCGCCGGCUAACUACGUG
rnacentral:rRNA from 1 species